UCCCAGCGGUCCAAGUCGCAGCCACAAUUAUUGGGUCUAAAACAUCCGUAGCUUGCUUUGUAAGUCUCUUGUGAAAUCUGGCCUCUUAAGGGUCGGUCGGGCAAGAGAUACUGCGAAGCUAGAGACCGGGAGGCGCAUGAAGUACACAUAGGGUAGCGGUAAAAUGCGUUGAUCCUUUGUGGACUAACAAUCGCGAAGGCAUCGUGCGAGAACGGUUCUGACAGUGAGGGAUGAAGGCUAGGGGCGCAAAGUG
rnacentral:rRNA from 1 species